UAUAUAAGUUUAUAAAAUGUAUAUAUUUAUAUAUGUUGUAUGUAACUUCUCUUGUUGUUGGUGUUGCUGGGUAGAUAUUUGGCUUGGGGCCCUGAAGUUGGUGAGGCAGUCAUACAAAAGAGACGUAUAUAGUUCUUUAGAACGACGCAUCCGUUCACACCGUUCGUGUUUCGAGAGAUGUCUUAAAAGAUACUGUAUUUACACAAAUUGAACAUCCAUCCAACAGCGUGGAACUGGUUCCCAGUGACUUUUUCUGUAGAAGAAAUAGAAACUACUCUUCGUCUUUUAACAGUUUGGACGAAUUUUAAGAAGAUGCUAAACCUAAUUAUAAUAGUAAAAGAGUUAUGUGUUUGUCCGCCAAUAUUGACUAGAAUUAUUCUCCUCCGAAAAGAAUCCCUCCGCAUACUUCUAAUAUUAAUUUAAUAAAUCUGUCGCCACCUUGUCAAAAUAUAGAAGCCUUCCACAACUAAAGGACAGACUAACUAUGAAUGAUAUGUGACACCGAACAAAUGAAAAAAUAAUGAAAGAAAACGAGUUGGAAUUACACUGAAAAUUGUGUAAAAAUUUUGUACUAGGUCGAUGUAAAAAUUUCCUACUGGGAUACUGCUAUUUUAGUUCGGUAUAUGUACGUAUAUAUGUAUAUAAGUUAAUUUACUUUUCGUAAGUUUUUGGAAAAAAAUUAGUUUAUUCUACGCUUUAGCACAUGUUGGUUUAUUGAAUUCUAACUUAGAAUUAACUUACAAUUUUUAUUUUCCUAAACAUUAAGCUUCUGUGUCCCGAUGUUAUGCAGGUGCGCCUUCAUGUUGUUGUUGCUGUGGGCUAUCUGGUGAACGUUCCCAUGCAGCAGCGACGCAGAGUCACCAUUUUGACGAUUGCGCGUGUGGUGUCGUUUGUCCGUGGGAUAAUGGCCACUGCGAACUCUAUAUGCUUGCGUAAGUUAAAAUAUGUCGUGGGAAAGCUGCUUCAGCGUAUCCCAUGUAAAUUUCUCUCUCUUUAAAGCAUGCAGCGUCCUCGAUGGAGGACUUCGAAUUGUCGGCGAUUGCAGAGGAUAAUCUUUCAUUACCAAGGAAAAUAUAAAUAAAACUUCUGGUUGAUUCUGUUA